rnacentral:lncRNA from 1 species
GAUACCAAGAUACUCUUAAAAGAGAAGAUGAAGUUCUCAUGUUUCAACCCCUAUUACUAUUGACUGUCAACUUCCCAAAAGACCCCAGAAAAACAUGUUAAUGGAACAAAACUAAGUUUAUUAGAUUUACUGUAGUAUAAGAGAAAACCACCUUGGUAGAGUCUUGAUAGUGCCUCAGGUUGACAAAGUCAGGGUCUGCACUGGGGGACUUCUAAGGUAGCUUUUGCAAGGUGGGGAGUAGCUUGGGACUGGGCAGGGUUUCUACCCUAACAAUUCUCAAUUGGUAAGCCCCGCAAGGCCAAGGAUCCUGAAGCAAAUCUAGAUAAGAAAGAUACUGGAUUUUAUAAGCUAGCUAUUUUAGUGGAUUUACUGCCUCAUUUUUGGUAAGCAAGUCUUCCUGAAGCAAGCAGAAUAAUACAAAGCUUUAACGAAGACCGCAGAAGAACUUCAUAUCUGAGUACCAUUUGCAAUCGAUUUACAAAUAAUGCCAGCAUCCUUAGCGACUUCUUCAGGCAAGGUUAUACUGGGGGUUUUUGAGGCUAAGCAGGUAAGAGUGCUAACAUAAAUGAGAAGAAAGUACCUCAUUGUUACCAAAACUGUAGCCAGGCUUUCCACGUGGGGUUUGAAAAGAGAUUGACAUGUUGCCCUCACUGGAAGGAGAGUAAAAUCAAGUUUGUGUGGGGUGGGAGGA